rnacentral:rRNA from 1 species
GACGGAGGAUGCAAGCGUUAUCCGGAAUUAUUGGGCGUAAAGCGUCCGCAGGUGGCUGUUCAAGUCUGCUGUCAAAGCGCAGAGCUUAACUCUGUACAGGCGGUGGAAACUGAAGAGCUAGAGUAUGGUAGGGGUAGAGGGAAUUCCCGGUGUAGCGGUGGAAUGCGUAGAGAUCGGGAAGAACAUCAGUGGCGAAGGCGGCCUGCUGGGCUGUUGCUGACGCUGAGGCGCGACAGCGUGGGGAGCAAACAGG